rnacentral:rRNA from 1 species
AUUGAACGCUGGCGGCAGGCCUAACACAUGCAAGUCGAGCGAGCGGCGGACGGGUGAGUAAUGUAUGGGGACUGCCCGAUAGAGGGGGAUAACUACUGGAAACGGUGGCUAAUACCGCAUACUAUCGGAUAACCCAUAUGGGAUUAGCUAGUAGGUGGGGUAAAGGCGCACCAAGGCGACGAUCUCUACCUGGUCUGAGAGGCGGAUCAGCCACACUGGGACUGAGACACGGCCCAGACUCCUACGGAGGCAGCAGUGGGGAAUAUUGCACAAUGGUCGAAAGCCUGAUGCAGCAAUGCCGCGUGAAUGAAGAAGGCCUUAGGGUUGUAAAGUACUUUCAUCGGGGAAGCGUUAUCCGCAGAGGAAGCACCGGCUAACUCCGUGCCAGCAGCCGCGGUAAUUC